rnacentral:rRNA from 1 species
GGGUGCGAUCAUACCAGCACUAAUGCACCUGA